ACUCCUACGGGAGGCAGCAGUGGGGAAUAUUGGACAAUGGGCGCAAGCCUGAUCCAGCCAUGCCGCGUGAGUGAUGAAGGCCCUAGGGUUGUAAAGCUCUUUCACCGGUGAAGAUAAUGACGGUAACCGGAGAAGAAGCCCCGGCUAACUUCGUGCCAGCAGCCGCGGUAAUACGAAGGGGGCUAGCGUUGUUCGGAUUUACUGGGCGUAAAGCGCACGUAGGCGGACUAUUAAGUCAGGGGUGAAAUCCCGGGGCUCAACCCCGGAACUGCCUUUGAUACUGGUAGUCUUGAGUUCGAGAGAGGUGAGUGGAAUUCCGAGUGUAGAGGUGAAAUUCGUAGAUAUUCGGAGGAACACCAGUGGCGAAGGCGGCUCACUGGCUCGAUACUGACGCUGAGGUGCGAAAGCGUGGGGAGCAAACAGGAUUAGAAACCCUGGUAGUCCCA
rnacentral:rRNA from 1 species